CCUACGGGAGGCAGCAGUGAGGAAUAUUGCGCAAUGGGCGAAAGCCUGACGCAGCGACGCCGCGUGGGCGACGAAGGCCUUCGGGUUGUAAAGCCCUUUUGGCAGGGACGAGUGAGGACGGUACCUGCCGAAUAAGUCUCGGCUAACUACGUGCCAGCAGCCGCGGUAAUACGUAGGGUGCGAGCGUUAAUCGGAAUUACUGGGCGUAAAGCGUGCGCAGGCGGCUUUGUAAGACGGAUGUGAAAUCCCUGGGCUUAACCGAGGAACUGCGUUCGUGACUGCAAAGCUAGAGUGCGGCAGAGGGGGGUGGAAUUCCUGGUGUAGCAGUGAAAUGCGUAGAGAUCAGGAGGAACACCGAUGGCGAAGGCGGCCCCCGGGGUUGGCACUGACGCUCAGGCACGAAAGCGGGGGGAGCAAACAGGAUUAGAUACCC
rnacentral:rRNA from 1 species